rnacentral:lncRNA from 1 species
GUCGACUUGCGCCAGCCCAGAGGCUGGGGAGGCGUCCGAGCCUCCGUCCCGCCUCGUCGUCGAGAAAGGUUAAGGACAAGCGCCAGCUCACCUGCGCUGGGGCAGGGAAGGGCAGAGUGGCCGAGCCCGGGAGGGCGCGACAGGGGCGAGGCGACCCCAGUCCAGAGGCUGACUUCCUCACAGCUCUGGGUCCCAAUCCUGAUCUGGGCUACCCUAUCUGUGCUUCUGGGGAGGUGGGCCCAGAACCAUUGUGUGAAUAAUGAUUGACCUCAGCUAGUGGUUCUCAUGGAGUGAUUGAUUUUGCUUCCCAGAGGACAUCAGCAAUGUCUGGAGACAUUUCCAGUUGUCACUACUUGAGAGGAAGCACAAUCUGCCUCUAGAAGGGAGAGACCAGGGAUGCUGCUGCUCAAUAUCCUAUAAUGCACAGAACAGCUUCUACGACA